UACGUAGGGGGCAAGCGUUGUCCGGACUUACUGGGCGUAGAGAGCGUGUAGGCGGCCAAGCAGGUCCGUUGUGAAAACUGGAGGCUUAACCUCCAGACGUCGACGGAAACCGCGUGGCUAGAGUCCGGAAGAGGAGAGUGGAAUUCCUGGUGUAGCGGUGAAAUGCGCAGAUAUCAGGAGGAACACCUAUGGCGAAGGCAGCUCGCUGGGACGGUACUGACGCUGAGGCGCGAAAGCGUGGGGAGCGAACAGG
rnacentral:rRNA from 1 species